CCUUUUUACUUCCCCCCACGCGAUCCUCCGCCAUUUCUUCCUCCACGCGCCGCCACACUUUCCGCCCCCCGCACCGCCGGUCGCCGCCGCAGAGCUCGGCGGAUCGUACCUGCCUGAUUCCCUCUCGGUCGUUGCUUCCCCUUGCCUCCAUUUGGGCUCGCCGAGCUCAAGAGGCUCACCUGCCGGCAACACGUCGAGGAUGACCAGGCUCCGGCGGUGCUGUGGAGGUUGGGGUGCAGCCGACCCUCUAUUUGGGGACUCGACGUGACCUGGGCGACGGACGGCCAACACCCCGGCGAGGAUGGCCAGCCACCGCUUCUCCCUCGCAUGUUUCUGAGCGUUGCCCAUGGGAGAAUAUCUCCAACUGCCGGCGUGCCCCAGAUGUGCAGCUUCUCACCGGCUUGCCGCCACAGCCCACAUGUCCUCUUGCCAUUACGUUUUGCAAGAAGAUGCUCCACGUCUGUCACGAAGUGACCCGAGGCAGCGCAUCUCUCCGCUGAAGUGGCCCAACCGCCCACGAAAGAUGGGGGCUGCUGCCGUUCAAAGGAAGUUCCAUGGUUGCCCAUUUGGAUUAGCAGCUUGGCAACCUUUACCUUAUUGUCAUAACGUGUAUCGGAAGAUCUAGGAUUUUUUAUUUUGAAGAUUGUCCAAUGAAAGACAAAGUAAAUGUAUUUAAAAGGCGCGCGGUGGCGGUGUUGCUAGGCAACGCGGUCCAUUGCAUUCGGUGCCCGUGCGUUUCGAUGGUACUGCAAGUGGUGAUGGUUUUUUGCCUCAUCGGUCUUUCUGUUGUUGCCUGCUCACUUGCCUAACAAGAAUAUGUCUCGGAAUUCAUAUCAAUGGAAGAUCAUGGUUCUAUUUGCUGGGAUCUGUGAGUUUAGGAGUCCAGAUCAGGGGACUCUCUUCUCACUUGAUUUUAUUAUCGUUGACCAACAGGUUAUAUCUAUUCUCUUUGCUUUUCUAUUUGUCAAGUUGUUCAGGUGUAAUCUAUCGAUCUGUUCAUUGAUGUCCUGCAGCCUUACGCCAUUUUAUCCCGCUUUGUAGUGGCUUGUGUGUAUUCAUUUUGUUUUUCAAUUUCUUAAUCCUUUGAUUGGUGCGCAUAGUUAACAUGCCUUAUUCCAUUCAGAGUUGAGAGAUAAGUGUUUUUCUUAAUUUGGGCAAUCCCUAUCAUAGUUAAUUGAUUUGAUCAUUCUUUCAAUUUCCCCCUAUGUUAUUCUACUCUCUGAUUAGAAUUUUUCUUUUCUUCUUUGUUCCUGGGUGAUUUACAUAAAUCCAUAAUGGAAGGUUUACUUCCUGGUGAUAGAGUGGAUCAAUUUAGGGAUUAGCUGAAGGAGGGGUCUGUAUACAUCAUUGACAAGUUUUAUCUAUAUGAUCCCAAAAGGGGAUAUAGAUCAGUGUACCAUCCUUUGAGGAUCUGCUUCACUAUGAGAACUGUUCUGAUGGAGGUGGAGCCACCGCUAGAGAUUUUUUCUAUGUUUGCCUAUACUGCUCCCCCUUUCAGCAUGCUGUCAGAUCGCAUCAACAAAAUUAUACUUUUACCUGGUACAAAUGUGGCCGGUUUGAUUGUUGAUUUAUUUUAUACCCUUUGUAUUCGUAGCAAAUUGUGUUUUCUGCUGUGGUAAUUUAAUUGCUUUGUGUACAUUUAUAGAUGUUGUUGGAUUGGUGAGAAAAGUCACAUGUUUUGCCUCCAUCUGGCAAGGCUAGGAGCCAGAAAUGGCAGGUGCCGAAUUGCUUCUGUUUCUGGUUUUAUUUUUCAGACCAAAUACUUGCUUCUUCUGAUUAAUAUCUAAUUCAUACAUGCGUUAAUUCAUGAGGCGAACAUGCUGUUGUUACCCUGUGGGGGGAGCUUGCUGAUUAUUUGAUGCUGAUGGAUUGAUGGAGGCAUCAAAUUAAGAGCCCGUCAUCGUCUUAUUUGUUGGCAUGACAGUUAGAUAUGCAUCAAAUUAAGAGCCCGUCAUCGUCUUAUUUGUUGGCAUGACAGUUAGACAGUACUCAAGUGAUACACUCUCGACUCUACUUUUUUGUUGCCAUUCGGUUCUUUUUUCCUUUCUGAUUUAUGCUAACUAUAAUAUUUGAUAUUCUACAUGUUUAUUGGCCUUCAACGGUACAUCUACUACAAGAUGACAUGUUAAUAUGUCAAUUCCAGAGAUUGCUACUGUUUGGGAUAGGUCGAAGCAUAUGUGGUGGCACAUCGAGCUGCACAGUGGAAACUAGGUUCGUGUUGAGCUGACCGUAUCAACAAUCAUGGAAAUAUCAACAUUUGAACCAAAUGAUAGCAUGGCAUGUUCGGUGUCUACAAUUGGUCAGUAAUUCUCAGAGUACGCUACAAGAUAUUUGUUAGAAUCAACGAAGUUCUCACAGAAAAGGGCUGGUAUUAGAUAAGAUGCAAAGAAUGCUGGAAGAAUCUUGAGUUAGAGGAUGGAGUAUACAAGUGCCCUCCGUGCGCUACUGCUAUACCACUGCCAAGGUAUAGGUUCAUUAUUCGAGAAAUUUACACUAACUCUACAGAUGUUCACACUGGAAAAAAAAAUUGACGUGUAAAUUUUUUGACGUGCCAAAUUUGCAGACUUAUAUUUGUUUGAGCCUUGAGGAGAGAUUGUCCUUUGAAAGGAGGCAUUGGCUUGUGUCAAGUGUCAGAGGGUAGGCUAAUACCGUGCCCCCGGAUUUGCUUGCCAUCGUGGGAAGAGAAUUCAGUGUUGUUGUCACUCCAAGACGUGAAUCAUUGGAUGUGUUGCACACUACAGAUUGCUGAGCCGAUUGUAUGUGCCAAUGUUACUGUGCGACAAGGCAUGGAUGGUUCGGCUGCAGGUCAGAAUAAUGAGGGUCUCCCUAUUCCUCAAACUCCAAAGCAGGUUCAAGGUCCUUGUGAGACUUCAACUCCGCCACCGUCUAUGGAUCUCACGCAACAGAGUGCACCAUCAUCAGCUUCUGUAGUCGAUGAGGUAAAAUUGUGUUGACUUAGCAGAGCACCCUGCAUUUUUGGGUUCUGUAGUGCUACGGAUUAUCAGGUAGUGGUAUAACAAGCAGAGCUGAGCUACGUCUGGCAGGCUUACCGUGUAAUCUUUUCCCACCUGCCAUGAUUCAAUACGUGCUCAGUCCUUUUUGUAUGGUGAAAGAGCAUAUAACAUCCCUUGACGAUUCACCAAAUGCAUUCGUCAGAGCUGUGUCCUCCUACACUUUCUCAGUUUGUCUGCAAAUGUGCGCAAAAUUCCUUGGCGGAUACAUGUGAAGCUGCUUCCUCUGAUUUUCAGUGAUCCAUCAACAAUGUCGAUCUACGACCGUGUAUUUCUAAGAGAAUUAUAGAUUAUUGUGGCCACACGAAAUUACCAAGUAUCCUAUUCUAUCAGGCAUGUUGUCUCCUCCUCUGUGUAACCUAUGAAUGGUGUACAAUUUCAGAAGUAUAAAUAAAGGACACACUG